rnacentral:rRNA from 1 species
CCCUUAGAUGUUCUGGGCUGCACGCGUGCUACACUGAUAUUGCCAAUAUGUCAUUCUUAUCCGAAAUGGAUUGGGUAAUCAAGUAAUGAAAUUUCAUGCUUGGAAUCGGUAAUUGCAAUUUUAUCGUGAACGAGGAAUUCCUAGUAAGCACUAGUCAUCAGCUAAUGUUGAUUAUGUCCCUGCCCUUUGUACACACCGCCCGACGCUACUACUGAUUGGGUGUUCAAGUGAGAUGCUUAGACCCUUGUUGCAUGGUUCAUUAUUGUGCUCCGAAAGGAAAAAGUUUCAAGCUUGAGUGUCUAGAGGAAGUAAAAGUCGUAACA